GGUGUAUAGCUAGCUCAACGGUUAAGUACUCAACUGCAGAUUGAGAGGUCUCCGGUUCAAACCCGGGUGUCACCU